rnacentral:rRNA from 1 species
CGGAGGGUGCAAGCGUUAUCCGGAUUCACUGGGUUUAAAGGGUGCGUAGGCGGAUAAGUAAGUCCGUGGUGAAAUCCUGCAGCUUAACUGCAGAACUGCCAUGGAUACUAUUUAUCUUGAAUAUCGUGGAGGUUAGCGGAAUAUGUCAUGUAGCGGUGAAAUGCUUAGAUAUGACAUAGAACACCCAUUGCGAAGGCAGCUAACUACGCGAUCAUUGACGCUGAUGCACGAAAGCGUGGGGAUCAAACAGGAUUAGAUACCCUGGUAGUCCACGCCCUAAACGAUGAUUACUCGACAUUGGUGAUACACAGUCAGUGUCUGAGCGAAAGCAUUAAGUAAUCCACCUGGGAAGUACGAUCGCAAGAUUG